GACGAACGCUGGCGGCGUGCCUAAUACAUGCAAGUCGAACGCAUUUUCUUUCACCGUAGCUUGCUACACCGAAGGAAAAUGAGUGGCGAACGGUGAGUAACACGUGGGUAACCUGCCCAUCAGCGGGGGAUAACACUUGGAAACAGGUGCUAAUACCGCAUAAUUCCAUUUACUGCAUGGUAGAUGGAUGAAAGGCGCUUUUGCGUCACUGAUGGAUGGACCCGCGGUGCAUUAGCUAGUUGGUGGGGUAACGGCCUACCAAGGCUGCGAUGCAUAGCCGACCUGAGAGGGUGAUCGGCCACACUGGGACUGAGACACGGCCCAGACUCCUACGGGAGGCAGCAGUAGGGAAUCUUCGGCAAUGGACGCAAGUCUGACCGAGCAACGCCGCGUGAGUGAAGAAGGUUUUCGGAUCAUAAAACUCUGUUGUUAGAAAAGAACAAGGAUGAGAGUGGAAAGUUCAUCCCUUGACGGUAUCUAACCAGAAAGCCACGGCUAACUACGUG
rnacentral:rRNA from 1 species